CCUACGGGCGGCAGCAGUGGGGAAUAUUGCACAAUGGGGGAAACCCUGAUGCAGCGACGCCGCGUGAGUGAGGAAGUAUUUCGGUUUGUAAAGCUCUAUCAGCAGGGAAGAUAAUGACGGUACCUGACUAAGAAGCCCCGGCUAACUACGUGCCAGCAGCCGCGGUAAUACGUAGGGGGCAAGCGUUAUCCGGAUUUACUGGGGGUAAAGGGUGCGUAGGCGGAAUUGCAAGUCUGAUGUGAAAACCCGGGGCCUAACCGCGGAACUGCAUUGGAAACUGUAUGUCUAGAGUGUGGGAGAGGCAGGUGGAAUUCCUGGUGUAGCGGUGAAAUGCGUAGAUAUCAGGAGGAAUACCAGUGGCGAAGGCGACUUGCUGGACGAUGACUGACGUUGAGGCUCGAAAGCGUGGGGAGCAAACAGGAUUAGAUACCCGGGUAGUC
rnacentral:rRNA from 1 species